rnacentral:rRNA from 1 species
AGCAGUAGCCACGGUAAUACAGAGGGUGCGAGCGUUAAUCGGAUUUACUGGGCGUAAAGCGUGCGUAGGCGGCUUCUUAAGUCGGAUGUGAAAUCCCUGAGCUUAACUUAGGAAUUGCAUUCGAUACUGGGAAGCUAGAGUAUGGGAGAGGAUGGUAGAAUUCCAGGUGUAGCGGUGAAAUGCGUAGAGAUCUGGAGGAAUACCGAUGGCGAAGGCAGCCAUCUGGCCUAAUACUGACGCUGAGGUACGAAAGCAUGGGGAGCAGACAGGAUUAGAUACCCGCGUAGUCCCUGUCUCUUAUAC